CACAACAGAGUAAUCAUUUUCUUAACUUUCUUACCUUUGAGUAAUAUUGUAGCCUUGGUUAAGACAAAUGAAUAUACGUGGAUGCCAAUACAAAUGUGAAUGAAUAUUUGGGUUGACAAUAAACUCAUACUAGGAUAUAGACUGGUACAUUUCCCUAAGAUUCCACCCUUAUUAUACCAUAUAUGUUUGAAAAAAUUCCAUCUUCCAAACCUAUACACCAACUCCUGUGAAAAAUAGCCUCACUGCUUCUAUCUAUCUAUCUAGACCUGUGAAAAAAACAGUUUUGAAUAUAGCCAAUCAAAACCACCUUGGAUUCACAAAAGUAUUUUAAACUUUAAACCUAAAGUUAAGGUAGCUUUAAUAUAAAAAAAUAAUGGUGACAGGUAAGAGAUGUGCAUAAUUUAGUAUAAAAUAAUAAUAAAAAGGUUGUUCUUCACUUACUCUCACUCACUGCCAGUCCAUAUGCCAGUUUGGAAAAAUAUUUUUUUUUUCUUUUUCAAUUCUGUCAAGAACACCUCUGG
rnacentral:lncRNA from 1 species